rnacentral:rRNA from 1 species
AACACAUGCAAGUCGAACGGCAGCACAGAGGAGCUUGCUCCUUGGGUGGCGAGUGGCGGACGGGUGAGGAAUACGUCGGAAUCUGCCUAUUUGUGGGGGAUAACGUAGGGAAACUUACGCUAAUACCGCAUACGACCUACGGGUGAAAGUGGGGGACCGCAAGGCCUCACGCAGAUAGAUGAGCCGACGUCGGAUUAGCUAGUUGGCGGGGUAAAGGCCCACCAAGGCGACGAUCCGUAGCUGGCCUGAGAGGAUGAUCAGCCACACUGGAACUGAGACACGGUCCAGACUCCUACGGGAGGCAGCAGUGGGGAAUAUUGGACAAUGGGCGCAAGCCUGAUCCAGCCAUGCCGCGUGUGUGAAGAAGGCCUUCGGGUUGUAAGCACUUUUGUCCGGAAAGAAAAGCUUAGGGUUAAUAACCCUGAGUCAUGACGGUACCGGAAGAAUAAGCACCGGCUAACUUCGUGCCAGCAGCCGCGGUAAUACGAAGGGUGCAAGCGUUACUCGGAAUUACUGGGCGU